rnacentral:rRNA from 1 species
GAUGAACGUUGGCGGCGUGGAUUAGGCAUGCAAGUCGAGCGCGAAGUGUAGCAAUACACAGAGAGCGGCGAAAGGGAGAGUAAUACAUAGAUAGCUACCCUCGAGUCUGGGAUAGCGGCGGGAAACUGCCGGUAAAACCAGAUAAUGUUUCCGGACCAAAGGUUUACCACUCGAGGAGGCGUCUGGUUCCUAUCAGCUUGUUGGCGGUGUAAUGGACCACCAAGGCUAAGACGGGUAUGGGGUGUGAGAGCAUGCCCCCACUCACUGGGACUGAGACACUGCCCAGACACCUACGGGUGGCUGCAGUCGAGAAUCUUCGGCAAGGGGCGAAAGCCUGACCGAGCGACGCCGCGUGCGGGAUGAAGGCCUUCGGGUUGUAAACCGCUGUCGUAGGGGAGCAAGGGGUAACCUUGAGCGAUCCUAGGAGGAAGGACCGGCUAAGUUCGUGCCAGCCGCCGCAGUAAGAC